UACGAAGGGGGCGAGCGUUGUUCGGAUUUACUGGGCGUAAAGGGCGCGCAGGCGGCCAUUCAAGUCAGGCGUGAAAGCCCCGGGCUUAACCUGGGAGGUGCGCUUGGGACUGGAGAGGAGACUGGAAUUUACGGUGUAGCAGUGAAAUGCGUAGAUAUCGUAAGGAAGACCAGUGGCGAAGGCGGGUCUCUGGACAGGUUCCUGACACUGAGGCACGAAGGCCAGGGGAGCAAACGGG
rnacentral:rRNA from 1 species